rnacentral:rRNA from 1 species
UCCACGCCCUAAACGAUGUAUACUCGGCGUUUGAUCUUCGGAUUGGGCGCCCAAGGGAAACCGUUAAGUAUACCACCUGGGGAGUACGUUCGCAAGAAUGAAACUCAAAGGAAUUGACGGGGGUCCGCACAAGCGGGUGGAGCAUGUGGUUUAAUUCGAUGAUACGCGAGGAACCUUACCUGGGCUCGAACGCUACUAGACAGGGAGUGAAAGCUCCUUUCCCUUCGGGGCUGAUAGUGAGGUGCUGCAUGGUUG